UUCCUAAAACCGACAUGCUUGCUUAAAUGAAAUGAACUUCUAAAUAUUAAAAAUGUAAGUUUAGUAGGUCAAUCUAUGAAUAUUGAAAGUUUAAAAACUAAAUUGAAACAUGUGGAAAAGUUUAGUAGGUGAAAGUGUGAAUAUGGAAAAUUUAAAAGUAAAAUUCCAAGUUUGCCCUCCACCUUUUUCUAUAUUUACACCUAACCCACCAUUUGACACCUAGCCAUGCAUGACUAAGCAUGAAAUGGAAAGUUGUCUUCAUUUGGUCCAUCCUUGCCGUGGCUACACCAAAAGGAAAGAGAAAAAGGCUUUUGCUUUCUUAACUUUCAUCUCCACCAUAUUUCUCCAAAAAGACAAAGAUUUCACCCAUGCACAAUCUGUUCUUAGGUGUUCUAACCAGCAAAGGAACCAUAGAAAGAAAGGAAAGAAGAAGAGA
rnacentral:lncRNA from 1 species